UGAAUGUUUACUGACAGAGAAAAGAAAAGAGUAAAAAAGUAGCGUAGUGUUCCCAACUUUGUGUCAUAGCCUGUUACAUGAUAUCAGUAAACCUGGCAACCUCCACUCUCACAGGAAUAACGUUGGUGAGGGGUGGUGCAGUUGGAGAACUGCAUCCUGCACUGACAACUUUGUGAUUGCUUUAGUUAACGCGGUCACCCGUAGUUUUUUUUUUGUGAAAUGGCAAGUUGCAAACGCUCCCCAACAAACCACUGAGUGAUAGUAAAACUAUCAGGAGUGUGACACAAACCCGAGAUACCAAGAGAAACUUCAAAGUAAAAGUUUUUUCAAUGAAAUGCACAACUUUUACUCUGACGGCUGACGUUCUCCGUUUCAGGUCAACCGGAAACCUGAUAGUUUCACUGCAAAACGAUUAGUUAGUGAGUGUUUGCAGACUAGUCUUCUAUAUAAACUACAGGUGACCAUGGCAAUCUUCUAGCAGCCAAAGAAAUGACAGGGUAGUUUUCAGUGCAGCACUCUUUGUGAUUAACUUCACCGAGGGACAGCAGUCACCCACCAACAAGCACUCGCCAACCAGUUGGGGAAUACUCAUUCCUCCUUAACCGACGAGCCUGCAGGCCUGUGUCACUGGAGACUAAUUAAUGACGUAGUGAAAUCAGAGCAUGAGGUCACUGGAUGUCAAGCGCAGUCACAGUAAACUUCCUGUCCAGCAAUAUUUGUUGUCACAUUUGUUUGUAAGGCUGUUUACAUCAACCAAACCAAGUUACAGGUCAAAGUCUGACACAGAAGGCUUUUUUUUGUAAGUGAAAGUUUUUAACUCCUUGUCUUUGUUUUUUCUGUUACUGGCACAAAAGAGCUUCCGUACGUUGAGGCUUCAUAAAGUCCAGAUGGUUAUUUUUUUUUCCACCGAUGCACAUUUAUUCAGUUUGCUUAGUUGCAUUUAGAAAAGUAUUUUUUUACAAAGUGCAUUACAAAAACAUAUCAUACACGCCUUCUAAAAACUCUUCUACACCCAGUGAUUUAUUAAAACAGAUGGUGUGUAAAUGAUAACAGAACCAUGCAAGAUUUAAGUGCAGCAUCAAGAAUUAAAUACAGUGUGACUGAAUAUUUAAAAAAAAGCUUUAAUAAGGAAGAUAAUAAGAAAUCCGAUUUUCUCAAGCGACGAUGUCCGUUCAGUCUUAAAGUGUGGGUUUGGGAAAAGUUGUCAGGUUGAGGAUGUCAUCACGUGGAAAUCAGUGCGGACAUCUUGUGCCGGUGGUUUGUUAGUCUUUGCAGUGGGCACGCUAACCCUGCACCCAGUUCAGAUCUUGAUACCAAGCUAAGAGCACAACCAAUCUAGUCAAAAUAUCUGACGUGUGUCAAACUGAAUAACUUGGUUACAAAUCAGUUUUCUUUAAAAUCACAAGAGUACAGCGAGCGUCCAAAUAUCUGUUGCCAGCUACAUGAAGUUCAAAGGUUGUGCCCUCAUAUAUAACUCAUGCAGGAGAACCGGCUCCCCUGUCACUGUUAUGCAGCCGCUUUGGCUUUUUACUUUUGUAUAAUAGGAAGGAGGAGCAUCCGCCAUCUUUAUAUACAGUCUAUGUAAACAACCAACAGCCGUCAAUCCAGAAAGCUUCUCUUGGAGUUUCCAGAACUGAUCCAUGUGCUGCAGAAAGAUAUUUAUUUCAGUUGGACUUUAUUCAUUUUCUGUUUGUUUUUAAUGAUGCUCUGUCCAACAUUUCCAAUCAGUAAAAUAUGAUGAAAUAAAUUUGUCAUGUUGUUAUGACAUGUAGCAUUGGACAUGAUGGAUACGUCCGACUGCUUUGGUUUAGUUUUUGGUUAUUUGAACGCUUUGGUCGGUUAUGCUCAGAAGCAUCCGUGUUUAACGUUAUGUUGGAGCUGCCCGCAGGUUGAUCACGAUGUUUGCAUCCUUCCCUGUAGCACAGGAGAACAAAAACAAGCACCAGGAUGCAGCGUUAUCGCUUGUAGCAGCAUCGCGCUGUAGUUUUGUUUUUGAGCAUUCUCUCUACAAAUUUUCAUCUCUACCUGCAUUUAGAGGGAGGGGAAGCAAGCAGAGAAGACUAAAAGCAGAUCUCGUGUAAUUUCCACUGCAAAUACGGCAAACAUGGGAGGUGGGUCACGAGCGACGGUGUGUGUGACAGCCGUUUGACGAGGACUGAGCGCAGACGGUGCCGUGAAGAGCCCUGCUCCCUGCCCACUCCCACCCACACCACCUCUAUUGCCGUGUUGUUGAUUGUGGUAAAUGCUAGUGCCUUUGCUGUAUUGUGAAACUGGAUAUUGAUUGUACUGUUGUACCGACAGGGCCUGGGGAUAGUCAGGCGCUCUAUUUAUUAUUGUUGACUCAAAUCGAUCAUAUUUUUCUAUGUAAGUGCUUUAAAUAAAUUUGCCCUUUUUAUCA
ensembl:lncRNA